GACGAACGCGGCGGCGUGCCUAAUACAUGCAAGUAGAACGCUGAAGGAGGAGCUUGCUUCUCUGGAUGAGUUGCGAACGGGUGAGUAACGCGUAGGUAACCUGCCUGGUAGCGGGGGAUAACUAUUGGAAACGAUAGCUAAUACCGCAUAAGAGUAGAUGUUGCAUGACAUUUGCUUAAAAGGUGCAAAUGCAUCACUACCAGAUGGACCUGCGUUGUAUUAGCUAGUUGGUGAGGUAACGGCUCACCAAGGCAACGAUACAUAGCCGACCUGAGAGGGUGAUCGGCCACACUGGGACUGAGACACGGCCCAGACUCCUACGGGAGGCAGCAGUAGGGAAUCUUCGGCAAUGGACGGAAGUCUGACCGAGCAACGCCGCGUGAGUGAAGAAGGUUUUCGGAUCGUAAAGCUCUGUUGUAAGAGAAGAAACGAGUGUGAGAGUGGAAAAGUUCACACUGUGACCGGU
rnacentral:rRNA from 1 species